rnacentral:rRNA from 1 species
UACAGAGGGUGCAAGCGUUAAUCGGAUUUACUGGGCGUAAAGCGCGCGUAGGCGGCUAAUUAAGUCAAAUGUGAAAUCCCCGAGCUUAACUUGGGAAUUGCAUCGAUACUGGUUAGCUAGAGUGUGGGAGAGGAUGGUAGAAUUCCAGGUGUAGCGGUGAAAUGCGUAGAGAUCUGGAGGAAUACCGAUGGCGAAGGCAGCCAUCUGGCCUAACACUGACGCUGAGGUGCGAAAGCAUGGGGAGCAAACAGG